AACGAACGCUGGCGGCAUGCCUACCACAUGCAAGUCGAACGAGAUCUUCGGGUCUAGUGGCGCACGGGUGCGUAACGCGUGGGAGUCUGCCCUUUGGUUCGGAAUAACAGUUGGAAACGACUGCUAAUACCGGAUGAUGACGAAAGUCCAAAGAUUUAUCGCCAGAGGAUGAGCCCGCGUAGGAUUAGCUAGUUGGUGUGGUAAAGGCGCACCAAGGCGACGAUCCUUAGCUGGUCUGAGAGGAUGAUCAGCCACACUGGGACUGAGACACGGCCCAGACUCCUACGGGAGGCAGCAGUGGGGAAUAUUGGACAAUGGGCGAAAGCCUGAUCCAGCAAUGCCGCGUGAGUGAUGAAGGCCUUAGGGUUGUAAAGCUCUUUUACCCGGGAUGAUAAUGACAGUACCGGGAGAAUAAGCUCCGGCUAACUCCGUGCCAGCCGCCGCCGUAA
rnacentral:rRNA from 1 species